rnacentral:lncRNA from 10 species
CAUGGUAAAACCUCAUCUCUGCUAAAAAAAAUUAGCGAGCAUGGUGGUGGGCGCCUGUAGUCCUAGCACCUGGGGAGGCUGAGGCAGGAGAAUUGCUUGAACCCGGGAGGCAGAGGUUGCAGUGAGCCGAGAUCACGCCACUGCACUCCAGCCUGGCCACACAGUGAGACUCCGUCUCAAAAAAAUAAACAGCAGCCAGGGGCCUCACUGGGGUUCAUGCCUGUGGCCCCAGCUACUGGGGAGGCUUAGAUGGGAGGAACACUUGUUUGGAGGUCAAGGCUGCGGCUCCAGUGAGCCGAGAUCACGCCACUGCACUCCAGCCGGAAUGACGAUGAGCACCUGUGUUGCAGCAUAGCCCUGCCCAGCAGGUGGAACCAGAAUGUGCCAGAGGCCCCCUUGUGCGUCCCACCCCGCCUGCACCCUCUGCCCUUACUGUCCUGUGGGCUCUGAGGGUGUCAAGGCCGCUGGGACAGGCCCUGCCUGGGUGCUUCCCUCAGUAAUGGGGGGUCGUGGGUGCUCUGGGUUGUCAGCCGGGCAGUUGAGUGGGAGUCAGGGGUGCUGACCUCACAGGCACGGCCAGUGAGGAGCAUUCCGGGGCCCUGAGGAUGCCAGCAUGGGUGGUCCUGGGCUCGCCCUCUCCACAGCAUGGCUGGCGUUCCUCGACUGCCGCCGGAGCCCCGGGAAGACAGGCUUGACCCCGUGCACACACGCAGGGAGACGCCAGGAGCCCUGCCCUCAGAAGCCUGCACGCUUUGCCUCUCUUCUGGCAGCUAGCUAACCCUGCAUCCCCACCUGAGCCUG